ensembl:snRNA U6 U6 spliceosomal RNA
GUGCUUGCUUCAGCAGCAUAUAGACCAAAAUUGAAACGCAACAAAGAUGAGCGUGGCCCCUGUGCAAGGAUGACAUGCAUAUUUGGGAAGCAUUCCGUAUUUUA